UACCAUGUAGGUGCUGGGGGUCA
rnacentral:piRNA from 1 species